AUUUUUUGGUUGUAAAAAAAAUUUCCUGAUAAAUCUCGCUGUAACGACAAUCGGUAUUCCAAUUUAUAUAGGUGUCCUUGCAAUGAGAGUUUGACUGGUGUGACGUCAUUAAAUUGUUAUCACUUUAAUUAUGCUGCGCCUUAAAAACUUAUUAUUUCUCGCGACGUGUGAUGUACGCGAUAUUUUGUGUUUGUAAAAAUUUUCACGAUUCUUUACGGAUUACGAAACAUCUUCGUGUUACGUUAUUAUCGGGCUGACUCGUGAGAUGAUACGGCGAAUUUAAUAACUGGACGAUACGCGACGAGUGCUAGUGUCGUGCAGGACGACGUUUACGAACGUAUAAUAUGCGUAAGCGAAAGACAUAAGAUUGUUCCUUUGUUUUUACAUUAAAGUAGAAGAAAACACGAUAAUCGGUGGGAGAUUGAGUUUACUUUGCGAUCCCUAGCGUAAAUGUAAAUUCGACUAUGUUUAUUUGCCUCGUUUUAAAUGUCUAAUAAAUAUUGUUUACUCGUCGACGACCGAUCGGACGCGAUGCUUGACGCCCGAGAAGCAGCGACUUACGGCGAAGAUAAGUGAAUUAAUGCCCAAGGAACGAAGAGAGAUACGAAUUGGCUGGGUAACGAGAAUAAAUAAGAAGAAAGAUAAAGAUAAAACGUGAAACAAAGAGAAAACUUGUUAGUCGGAGUAAAAAGAAGAAUAAUUGGAAUGACAAGACAUUCGGCGAAGAUUAUUUUUCGGAAUUAAAGGAACUUCGUGCCUUUAUGCUUCGGAGCCAUGAAGCCACGUGGUUGUCGCAAACGUCAUUGCAAGCGGUUGAAUGGGCGAGAAAUGUCAAAGUUACAGGAUUCUCUUAGAAAAACAUAGAGAAAUGGAUGACGCGGAACUAGAAGCGUCGAUCGACGGUAGCUAGUAUAGAAAUAAAUAGUUUCUUCACUGAAAUAAAAAAAAAAAGCCGACCUUAUGGAUUUCGAAAAAAAAAAAAAUUUGAUAAUUAUUCAAAAGAAUUUUCGAAAAACCGAAUAACGCUGGCUUUUAAGAAAAUUGUGUAAAGCUUCAUUGCACCAAAACAAAAAUUACUUUUUUCUUUUCAAAUAUUUUCGCAAAAAACGAUAUAUACAUACUGACGCUCUCGUAUGUAGAUUUUACACGCACACCUCGCUCACUCGCUCGCUCUCGCUCGCUCAAUGUCCAUCUCGAACGUAGAAACAAUUCACACGAAUUACUAAUUUCCCGUCCGUUCGCGGAAUAACAGCCUAAUGAUAAUACACCAGCAGUAAAACAGAAGACAAAUAACAACUUCCCUCAAUAAGUGCUCUUAGUGAAACUGUGCAACAGGAAUUUAGCGUGAAAUCUCGAAAAUGUUUGCGUCGCCGCAUCGUGGGAACGAGAAAGAGGAAGAAGAAAAAAAAAAAACAUUUUCGAUGACCGAAAAGGCGCGAACCAAAUGUAUAAUUUCCCAAUCAGUGAAAAUGACGCGAAGAACGCGAAUCGCGGUUAAACCAGCCGAAAGACUUUGUACGAUGCCCCCUUCUUGUUGUCGUAUUUACCCCCCCCCCCCCACCCCCCGUCCAGUCUCCGAUGACUGCCGGAGCUUGAGCAAAGGCAUAAGAAGAUGCGUGAAAAGGGCCCAGAAAGACGUCGACAACGUAAUCGCAAGGUGCAACUGGCGUCCUCUUAAAAUAGACUAAAUCCCCGUGUACAUUAAAAUCACUCACGAGAACACUCGACAACGUCGCAUCGAUAGGUAAAGAAAGAAGGCAAGAUAGCCAGUAAAGGCGCGAGAGGUGAGAAACGAAAGAAUAAAGAGAAACGUAAAAAUGAGCCCGGCAAAUCCGGGUGACGCGUGUAAGAAUGAUUUUUGAGUUGUAUCAGAAUCCAGGUCACGUCUAGUAUAGUUCUAAUAAAUGAACAUUAAAAAAAAA